rnacentral:rRNA from 1 species
GAUGAACGCUGGCGGCGUGCCUAAUACAUGCAAGUCGAGCGAACAGACGAGGAGCUUGCUCCUCUGACGUUAGCGGCGGACGGGUGAGUAACACGUGUAUAACCUACCUAUCAGACUGGUAUCACUUCGGGAAACCGGCGCUAAUACCGGAUAAUAUCUUGCACCGCAUGGUUCAAUAGUGAAAUACGGUUUUUCUGUCACUUCUAGCUGCAUCCGCGCCGCUUUAGCUAGUUGGUAGGGUAACGGCUUACCAAGGCGACGAUGCGUAGCCGACCUGAGAGGGUGAUAGGCCACACGAGAGCUGAGACACGGUCCAGACUCCUAAGGGAGGCAGCAGUAGGGAAUCGGCCGCAAUGGGCGAAAGCCUGACGGAGCAACGCCGCGUGAGUGAUAAAGGUCUUCGGAUCGUAAAACUCUGUUAUUAGGGAAGAACAAAUGUGUAAGUAACUAUGCACGGCGUGACGGUAACUAAUCAGAAAGCCACGGCUAACUACGUG